CAAGUCGAGCGAUGAAGUUUCUUCGGAAAUGGAUUAGCGGCGAACGGGUGGGGAACACGUGAAGAAUCUGCCUUCCACUUUGGGAUAACACCGGGAAACCGGUGCUAAUACCGAAUAUUGAAACAUAAGUGGCAUCACUGAGUUUUGAAAGAAUUUCGGUGGAGGAUGACUUCGCGGCCUAUCAGCUAGUUGGUGAGGUAAUGGCUCACCAAGGCAACGACGGGUAGCCGGCCUGAGAGGGCGACCGGCCACACUGGGACUGAGACACGGCCCAGACUCCUACGGGAGGCAGCAGUGGGGAAUAUUGGGCAAUGGAGGAAACUCUGACCCAGCGACGCCGCGUGCGGGAUGAAGGCCUUCGGGUUGUAAACCGCUUUCAGUAGGGAAGAAGCGAAAGUGACGGUACCUACGGAAGAAGCACCGGCUAACUAUGUGCCAGCAGCCGCGGUAAUACAUAGGGUGCAAGCGUUGUCCGGAAUUAUUGGGCGUAAAGAGCUCGUAGGUCGUUUGUUACGUCGGAUGUGAAAACCUGAGGCUCAACCUCAGGCCUGCAUUCGAUACGGGCAAACUAGAGUUUGGUAGGGGAGACUGGAAUUCCUGGUGUAGCGGUGGAAUGCGCAGAUAUCAGGAGGAACACCAAUGGCGAAGGCAGGUCUCUGGGCCAAUACUGACACUGAGGAGCGAAAGUCUGGGGAGCGAACAGGAUUAGAUACCCUGGUAGUCCAGACCGUAAACGGUGGGCACUAGUUGUGGGAACCUUCCACGGUUUCUGCGACGCAGCUAACGCAUUAAGUGCCCCGCCUGGGGAGUACGAUCGCAAGAUUAAAACUCAAAGGAAUUGACGG
rnacentral:rRNA from 1 species